rnacentral:rRNA from 1 species
AANACGUGCGCAAGUCGCAGGGCUGUACGAAACCCGGAGGCGCAAUGAAAGUGAAGGUCUGCCUAGUGCAGGUUCUGGUGAGAUCCCGAGAAGAGUUUACUCUCGACGGGCGCACCACCGGCCCGUCUCAGCCGCUGCGUCGGCGAGGCGGAGCAAGAGCGUACUUGUUGGGACCCGAAAGAUGGUGAACUAUGCCUGAGCAGGACGAAGCCAGAGGAAACUCUGGUGGAGGUCCGCAGCGAUUCUGACGUGCAAAUCGAUCGUCUGACUUGGGUAUAG